UAGAAAUUCGGGAGACGUCAGAAAGGGAAGAUUUGUGAAAUUCAGCUUCACUUCCUGCAGAGGGCUCCAAGCACAGGAAAAGAAAAACCAACAAUUCACAGGAUCAGGCCCUGACUGACAAAUGUAAAUCCGCACUUGCAGCAGACCCCCAUGCUGUCAUGAGCCACUAUUAUUCCUCAUGUGUCUCCUAAAUCGGGAGAUUGGGCAGUGUUGUCACGGAUGUCAUACUAGAAAUUUCAAGUUCAAAAAUGAACUGGAAGUUUUGAUUCUAGACAACAGUGGUGCAGAAUACGAGAGGAAGAUUUAUCAGGAGGAAAACAAAACUGACUGUGUGGACUAACCAAAGGUCAGCAAAACUUCAAAUGGUAAGCAAACACCAGACAUGAAUCAAUAAAGAUUUCCUUCAGCUUGUAGUGUUGUUACUACUUACAUCACUAGGGUGCUUUCAAGCGCCGUCAGCCCUUAACUGUCUGUGCUGGUUUCGUGGCUGCUCCCGUCAGUGUCCGAGUCGGACUUUGCGGCCUGCUUGCGAUUGUGCCGGACCAGCUGUGCCUGGAGCCCUGCCGGGUGCCUGCCUGUGCGUGGAGACAGGCGAGCACUGCGCAUCUCCUGGCGUACCCAGCCCCACCUUCCCUUGCCCGCUCUCACUGUGAAAGGUGGUUCUUCAGUUUACAAAAAUAGGAAAUGUAGAGUGAAUACUAACUAGAUUGCAAAUAAUCCUUCUAAGUGGUUGGGGAUACAGCUGAAGAAACCUCAUGUUUUACUAACCAGAAGACAGAACGAGAUUAAUAGCUAAUUAAAUGAAUUUUGGGGGCCCAGGGAUGACCAGUGAGAAGAACCGGGAUGACCUCGGUAGCUGCAGCCUGCGGAGAACAUCUCUUCAAACAGCAGUUUGUAGCGGCGCCAUUUGCUCCUCACAGGAGCGGGCCCGUCGCGGUGGGCGCCAGCACGUGCUUCGGGGCCGCCGGUAGCAGGCGCAGGUGGCAGGGCUGGCCCUGGGCGCCGGCUGGCAUCUUCGGCCCCCACGUGUGAAACUACCUUCUACUUUUGUUUCUUCAGGUUGAGCACGAGGGUCUCUAAGUGCGGGAUUAGGCCCCAAGGAAGGUGGUGUGAAGAAAAACGCCUCUGUUGAUGCAUAUGUGAGGAGAGAGGUUUUGGCAGCCGGCGUCGCGAGGCCUGGCCAACCUGCACACUUGCUGCAUUUUAUGUGCUAGUCUUGUUCAUCGCUAGCUUUGAAGGACAUACCCUCAUCUGGACUAUGGAAAGCUGGGAAGCCAGGAUAGUACUGUCAUAUUCUGCUUUUUGUCUUGAUCAUUGUGAUAACUGCAGCACUUCAGAAGUGUGGUGACGUGUAGGAGUGGAAACUGCCUCAACUCAGUGCUCCCAGUGAACUCAGAGGGCCAGUUACCUUAGCUGCCUGAAGAAGAGUUACUCCUAGUAUUACCCAGCUGGCAGUGGGAAGGAGUUAGAUUUUAAUAAGUCAUCUUUGACUGAUGUCCUUCCACUUCUGGCCUACUAGCUUAUUACAAAAUACGCUUUUUUAUGUAUCAUACUUGCCAGCUCUAACUUGUCAUUGCAGAUCACAUCUGUGUUCGUUUUAUUCAUGUUUUUGUACCUUUGUGAGCUGAGAAGUAAUUUUGUGAUGGGAGGAAGCAGAGGGGAAUUAAUGAGCUGUGUCUCUUCAAAUACACUACAUUUUUAAUAAAUUUAUUCGGUUGGUACCAGAAAUAGAAUUCAAUGGUAAAGCAACUCCUAAUGCUAAAAUUCUUCCUUAACUGUAUGGGAAGAUUGAAAGUUCGAUUUUAAAUCAUAAAGAUUUUCUCAGCAGAUUAUGAGGAAAUACUUCACUGGGUUUAAAAAAAGUUGCCUACUCUCUGAGCCUAACUUCGGCAAUGCGUCUGGAAAAAAUGUUACUAUCUAUCUAAAUAAAGUGCUGUUUAAUGGUGAGCUGAUUUAUCAGAACAUUAGUUUUUAUAACUAAAAUAUACAUUUGAUUUUAAAAUGUGUAAUUUCCUGUGGUUUCUUUUGACGUCUGGCCACUUUUGUUUGAAAGUGUCUUUUAUGUUGGUCAUUACCCUUGUUCAAACGCUCUGUGAAAGCCCUUUUUCUUUAUGCUGAACCCUCCUUAUGCAGUGUUCACUUCUGACAAAUUAUUUUUUAAAACACAUUAAUUGCCUAAAGGAAAGUCUUUUCAAGACUCUGCUGAAAAGAUAAUGUCACAAAUUUUAUUGGAAGGA